rnacentral:rRNA from 1 species
AGUGAACGCUGGCGGUAGGCCUAACACAUGCAAGUCGAACGGCAGCACAGUAAGAGCUUGCUCUUACGGGUGGCGAGUGGCGGACGGGUGAGGAAUACAUCGGAAUCUACUUUUUCGUGGGGGAUAACGUAGGGAAACUUACGCUAAUACCGCAUACGACCUACGGGUGAAAGCAGGGGAUCUUCGGACCUUGCGCGAUUGAAUGAGCCGAUGUCGGAUUAGCUAGUUGGCGGGGUAAAGGCCCACCAAGGCGACGAUCCGUAGCUGGUCUGAGAGGAUGAUCAGCCACACUGGAACUGAGACACGGUCCAGACUCCUACGGGAGGCAGCAGUGGGGAAUAUUGGACAAUGGGCGCAAGCCUGAUCCAGCCAUACCGCGUGGGUGAAGAAGGCCUUCGGGUUGUAAAGCCCUGUUGUUGGGAAAGAAAAACAGCGUGUUAAUACCCCGCUGUUCUGACGGUACCCAAAGAAUAAGCACCGGCUAACUUCGUG